rnacentral:rRNA from 1 species
AUUGAACGCUGGCGGCAGGCCUAACACAUGCAAGUCGAGCGAGCGGCGGACGGGUGAGUAAUGUAUGGGGACUGCCCGAUAGAGGGGGAUAACUACUGGAAACGGUGGCUAAUACCGCAUACUAUCGGAUAACCCAUAUGGGAUUAGCUAGUAGGUGGGGUAAAGGCUAACCUGGGCGACGAUCUCUAGCUGGUCUGAGAGGAUGAUCGGCAACACUGGGACUGAGACACGGCCAAGCCUCCUACGGAGGCAGAAGUGGGGAAUAUUGCACAUGGGGGGAAAGCCGGAGGCAGCCAUGCGGCGUGUAGGAAGAAGGCCUUAGGGUUGUAAAGUACUUUCAGCGGGGAGGCGUUACCCGCAGAAGAAGCACCGGCUAACUCCGUGCCAGCCGCCGCGGUAAUAC